ensembl:antisense AI115009 expressed sequence AI115009
AAAAGCGCUUCGGAUUUAGGGUGUUUUAAGAUGGAAUGUGGAGAGAAUAAUAGGAAGCAGGACUUCUCUCUGGGAAGCAGGUACCUUUAGCUCAUUCCUCAAGCCUCCUUCCUCACAGUCCUAUCCCCUGUCCCUGGUGCGGAUGCUGGAUGCUGCUGCUAAGCCCAGCAGAGGCCAGCAACAGGAGUCACGCCUGUCUGGCCGCUCCCAGUCGAACCCAGUCUGUGUAGGUGGGCGCCAGGGCUGGCGCUGGAAGCUGGGAGGAGAGCCUGGAGAACCUUUCAGGCAACCAGCAAACGCGCUCGGGAGUUCAUUGACUGGCCGCUUAGAGCUUCAGGGACCCAGGAGAUAGCGCUGCACUGGAUCGGCUGGGCUGUGUGUAUAUAUGCGUGUGUGGGUUUUUUUUUCCCCCCCGGGAGAGUCGCUUCAUCCACGCUUUCCCUCCCCUGCAAGGGGUCCCAACGCUUGGCGCCUGGAAUGUUUAGGACUCUGGAACCUUCAGUUUCCUGUCCUGCCUCCGUGUGGGCGACACUGGUCUCACCUGGCUUGACCCUCAGCCCCAGAGAGUGCUGCCAGGCCACGAUCUGCUGUCCAUUCUGGGUGCCCAUCUCGGAGGGAUACUCUGGGGGCAGCCUGCAUCCAGAACCCAGCUUGAAGAGGGAAACUUGAUCCCAAGAUACGGGUUUCCAAGCCUGCAUUUGAAAAGGACCCUAGCGACCGGAGCGCACAAGGCGACUUGUCUGGGGCGAAGGGAACGGCGAGCUUCUGUGAGCGCCUUCAUUAGGGACCCUACACCGGAAGGUGCAGCCGGGCACUGGCCCUCGGGACAUUCGCUGGAGAUCCUUUGGCCACCCCAGCCUCUUACCUCGAAAAGCUGAGGAAUGUCCCUCCGGGCCAGCCACGUUUCUUCUGUUAAUUGUCAUUCUGCAGUAUAAUUAAUUAAUUUCCAUGCUGCUUCUAACUGGGUGAAAUUACAAGACUAAGGAUCGACCACAUCUCUGCAAGCAGUGAGCGUGCUUAAGGAGAGCUCUUCCCAGUCCUUGAGCCGCAGAGGAAGGAGGAACAAAAGCCCAGGGUCAUCCGUGGUUUCUCAGUGAGUCUGGUUACCUGAGACCCUGCCUGAAAAGCUCAAACCAAACCAAGGAAAAAAUAAGAUGAGUCAGUGACAUGGGAGUCCAGGCAGCACUGAGGUGAAAGGAUUCACCCUGAGCAGGCGUCUGGACCUGGGCACACCCAGUCCCACCAGGGACCACUAGUAAUGAGUAGGAGGUUUGAGACUUGGGUACUUGCUUCAUCACAGGGGUCCCUGACGCACCCCAUUCUGAGACAGUAGAUUGGAAACCAGGGUAUGGAAAUAACCACCGAAAGUGACAUUCUGCCAUGGUAUUUGUGAAGGAAAGAACGGUUAAUCCCAAGAGUGAUGGAGCCUGUUAGGCAACUUGGGCCACACAGGGCAAGAAACCUUUGUCGCUCUCCCGAGAUGGAACCGAGUUAUCGGAAAUGCCUGACCUUGGCAGUUACAGAGAGCUCCAGCACAUGAGCUUCCCUCACAGCAGAACCCAAACUCCACAGGAAGCAGCCAAGGAAGGGACAGAAGAAGCAGGGGACAGCUGGGAACAUCAGCUCUCCUUGUUGCCUCCCCAAGGCACACGUUACGACCAUCUAUCUAGAGAGGAGCAAGAAGGGUUUUCUGAGAUGCUGGGGUUUAUAUAAGAUAGAGCUUAUCAAAUACUUUCCAUCUGUCCAAGAAAUUUUUACACAAGUCUAGGUAUAAGUAUAUAAAAUAUGUUUACAAAUCAAACUGAUAACUUACUGAUAAUAUAAAGAAAUGUAUUUUAAAACU